GAAGGUAUAGCUCAGUGGUAGAGCAUGUGCCCACCAUGCACAAGGUCCUGGGUUCAGUCCCCAGUACCUCCA
rnacentral:tRNA from 1 species